GCUAGGUACGGUGGUGCACACCUGUAAUCCCAGCAGCUCAGGAGGCUGAGGCAGGAGAAUUGCAAGUUCAAAGCCAGCCUCAGCAAUUUAGCAAGGCCCUGUCUUUA
rnacentral:sRNA from 1 species